rnacentral:rRNA from 1 species
GACGAACGCUGGCGGCGUGCUUAACACAUGCAAGUCGAACGGAAAGGCCCUGCUUUUGUGGGGUGCUCGAUUGGCGAACGGUUGUGUAACACGCGAGUAUCCUGCCCUUGACUUUGGGAUAACUUCAGGACACUGGGGCUAAUACCGGAUAGGAGCUCCUGCUCCAUGGUGGGGGUUUGAAAGUUUCGGCGGUUGGGGAUGGACUCGCGGCUUUUUAGUCUGUUGGUGGGGUAGUGGCUUACCAAGGCUUUGACGGGUAGCCGGCCUGAGUGGGUGACCGGCCACAUGGGGACGGAGAUACGGCCCAGACUCCUACGGGAGGGAGAAGGGGGGAAUAUUGCAAAAUGGGGGGGAGCAUGAAGCAGCAACGCCGCGUGCAGGAUGACGGCCUUCGGGUUGUAAACCGCUUUCGCCUGUGACGAAGCGUGAGUGACGGUAAUGGGUAAAGAAGCACCGGCUAAAUACGUG